rnacentral:rRNA from 1 species
AAUCACUUGUCUNNUAAAUGAAGACCUGUANGAAUGGUAUGACGAGGGCUUAACUGUCUCCUCACUCUAGUCANUGAAAUUGAUCUUCCCGUGCAGAAGCGGGAAUAANUACAUAAGACGAGAAGACCCUAUGGAGCUUUAGANACUAGAAUAGACCAUGUUAAUAAACUCUAAAUUAAAGAAUUGAACCUAAUGGAAUACUAUUUUUAUAUCUUCGGUUGGGGCGACCAUGGGGAAAUAUAAAACCCCCACGUGGAAUAAGAGAACUAACCCAUAAUCAACCCUCUUAAAAACAUAGAGCCACACCUCCAANUAACAGAAUUNCUGACCAAAAAUGAUCCGGCAAUGCCGAUCAACGGACCAAGUUACCCUAGGGAUAACAGCGCAAUCCCCUUUUAG